UGGGGAAAAAAGCAACAAUACGGAGAACAUUAGCAUGGCCCCUGUAAAAGGAUGACAUGCAAAUUCAUGAAGCAUCCCAUAUUUUU
rnacentral:snRNA from 1 species